UUCCCUCAAGGCUCAACUCAGGUGCCAGCCCUCUGUGAAGCUUCUUUUGUUAGUGACUUCAUCCACCUGGAUUUUCUUUGCACUAUGCUUGUUGGUGUAAAUGGAAAAUUUGGGGUGGAUUCCGGGAAAAUGGUGGAGCAGCCUGAAGCUUCUCAUAGACAUCCCAGGAUACGUGAUUCGGGUACAGACUUCCUGCCUUGUUGUGGAAUUAAACAAACGUCCCCUUGGUGCUAACACUGUGAUUCAACUCCCCUGCAGCCUUCCUUGCAAAGGAGGACAAAGCAACUACAUUCAAAAGGGCUGGAUGCACACUCUGAUUUUUCAUCUCUAAAAACCCACUUAACAGUGAACGCAUUUCAAAUACAGUACAGUCAGAGCCCAGAGAAUCAAAGAGCUGGAAGUGGUCUCAUGUGGGGUAUCUACCUAGCUCUCCUGCCUCCAAGCAAGACAUUUGUUGAAUGCAUGUUGGAGAUGACAACAUAGACCAUUCAUGAUAAAUGACUGAUGAUUGUACUCUUAAAGUUCCCUGGGGCUAAAAGCUUUGGUAAGUCUUGUAACCUCUUCCAAAGCUUAACAGCCCUCUGUAACAAGGAAGUUUAUUUUGAUAUUCAAUGCCCCUUCUUUAUCUUCACCUGUUGAUGUAGUAUCUGGUUCCACUAUGUGCAGAAUCAACAUUCAGGGGAAAAAUUGAAGUAGGGACAGGAACUGGACUUGCAAAUUUGUAAGUAUAGAGAACUACCAGGUGAAUAAAUGCCUUCCACCAAUGUA